rnacentral:lncRNA from 7 species
CUCAGAGUCUACGCUCUGGCAUGGUGUACAGGGGGACACAGCGCCAAUACCAACUCAGGACUGACAGGAUCAGCUAAGCUUUCUCUGCUUCCCUCUGUGUUUCCUGUUUGAGGAAUAACCUUGCUCCCUAGCAGUUUUGUAGCAAACAGCUUUAAAGUGCUUGAAUAAAUAGAAGCCCUAAAGAACCCACUUUCAUCACCAGAACGAGGCAGCCUUCGUUGAAGAACUUGGAGGAAGCAACGGUGAAACUGAGUUACCAUUGGUUAUGCUGAGCUGAUGUGUGAUAACCAGCUGGGUGGCUGCUGAACACUCGGUACUAAGUUCAAAAAUAAAUUCUUUUCAGAUUAAAAGUUUUGUCCCAGAGGACAACCUAGCGGACUCUUCCAUAAAAGGUAGGGGCAAGCUAAGUGCACAAGAAUUCAUUACAUAAUUUGUAAAAUGAUGACUAGAAAAGGGAAGGCAGGGUUAGAUUGAUACUGUAUAAACUAAGAGAUAUCACUUCUAGCAAUAAAAACUCGUUGGAAA